CCCUUUGCAACCCCGCGCCACGCUCCCUAUAUAGGGAUUGUCCUUCGGGACUAUGAACAUAAACGCGCUCGUAAUAAGCGGAUCGGACCCGGGGGCGGUACCCGGCGUCUCCACCAAAAACCUUCAUUUGGGGUGUGCGGGGACGAAACAGGAUCGACGAACGUCUAAAGGGGUUAGCUUUGUUUCGGUGAGAUACCACCGUUAUCGGUUCAUCUAAGCUAGUUGCAAAUGACAACAAUGCUCCGGUUGCACUCGCAGCGUAAGCUGUGCGGAAUACCGAAAAUUAAGCCCUAGGCCCUAGCAGGUCUAGGCGGGGUUCGCAGGCACCUGGCAACAGAAGCCUGCACU
rfam:Pseudooctadecabacter jejudonensis strain CECT 8397 genome assembly, contig: 0001